UACGUAGGGCGCGAGCGUUGUCCGGAAUUAUUGGGCGUAAAGAGCUCGUAGGCGGUCUGUCGCGUCGGCUGUGAAAACUCGGGGCUCAACUCCGAGCUUGCAGUCGAUACGGGCAGGCUAGAGUUCGGCAGGGGAGACUGGAAUUCCUGGUGUAGCGGUGAAAUGCGCAGAUAUCAGGAGGAACACCGGUGGCGAAGGCGGGUCUCUGGGCCGAUACUGACGCUGAGGAGCGAAAGCGUGGGGAGCGAACAGG
rnacentral:rRNA from 1 species